rnacentral:rRNA from 1 species
UGGGGAAUAUUGCACAAUGGAGGGAACUCUGAUGCAGCGACGCCGCGUGAACGAAGAAGGUUUUCGAGUCGUAAAGUUCUUUUAUAUGGGAAGAUAAUGACGGUACCAUAAGAAAAAGCCCCGGCUAACUACGUGCCAGCAGCCGCGGUAAUACGUAGGGGGCUAGCGUUGUCCGGAAUCACUGGGCGUAAAGGGUUCGCAGGCGGAAAUGCAAGUCAGGUGUAAAAGGCAGUAGCUUAACUACUGUAAGCAUUUGAAACUGCAUAUCUUGAGAAGAGUAGAGGUAAGUGGAAUUUUUAGUGUAGCGGUGAAAUGCGUAGAUAUUAAAAAGAAUACCGGUGGCGAAGGCGACUUACUGGGCUCAUUCUGACGCUGAGGAACGAAAGCGUGGGUAGCAAACAGG